ACUCAAAGGAAUAGACGGGGGCCCGCACAAGCAGCGGAGCAUGUGGUUUAAUUCGAAGCAACGCGAAGAACCUUACCUAGACUUGACAUCUCCUGAAUUACCCGUAACUGGGGAAGCUCUUCGGAGCAGGAAGACAGGUGGUGCAUGGUUGUCGUCAGCUCGUGUCGUGAGAUGUUGGGUUAAGUCCCGCAACGAGCGCAACCCUUAUUGUUAGUUGCUACCAUUAAGUUGAGCACUCUAGCGAGACUGCCGGGGUUAACUCGGAGGAAGGUGGGGAUGACGUCAAAUCAUCAUGCCCCUUAUGUCUAGGGCUACACACGUGCUACAAUGGCGAGUACAACAAGAGGCUAAGCCGCGAGGUGGAGCAAAACUGUAAAACUCGUCCCAGUUCGGAUUGUAGGCUGAAACUCGCCUACAUGAAGCCGGAGUUGCUAGUAAUCGCGAAUCAGCAUGUCGCGGUGAAUACGUUCCCGGGCCUUGUACACACCGCCCGU
rnacentral:rRNA from 1 species